rnacentral:rRNA from 1 species
AGUGGGGAAUAUUGGACAAUGGGCGAAAGCCUGAUCCAGCAAUACCGCGUGAGGGAUGAAGGCCUAUGGGUUGUAAACCUCUUUUCUCAAGGAGGAAGAUAUGACGUUACUUGAGGAAUAAGCAUCGGCUAACCCUGUGCCAGCAGCCGCGGUAAUACAGGGGAUGCAAGUGUUAUCCGGAAUCAUUGGGCGUAAAGCGUCUGCAGGUUGACUUUUAAGUCUUUUGUUAAAGCUCUGGGCUUAACCUAGAAUAUGCAAAGGAAACUAUCUGUCUUGAGUAUGGUAGAGGUAAAGGGAAUUUCCAGUGGAGCGGUGAAAUGCUUAGAUAUUGGAAAGAACACCAACAGCGAAGGCACUUUACUGGGCCAGUACUGACACUGAGAGACGAAAGCUAGGGGAGCAAACGGGAUUAGAUACCCCGGUAGUCCUAGCUGUAAACGAUGGAUACUAGAUGUUGUGCUUAAGAAAAAGUACAGUGUCGUAGCUAACGCGUUAAGUAUCCCGCCUGGGAAGUAUGCUCGCAAGAGUG